UACAGAGGGUGCGAGCGUUGUUCGGAUUUACUGGGCGUAAAGGGCGCGUAGGCGGUAGCACAAGUCAGUUGUGAAAUCUCCGGGCUUAACUCGGAAAGGUCAACUGAUACUGUGCGACUAGAGUGCAGAAGGGGCAACUGGAAUUCUCGGUGUAGCGGUGAAAUGCGUAGAUAUCGAGAGGAACACCUGCGGCGAAGGCGGGUUGCUGGGCUGACACUGACGCUGAGGCGCGAAAGCCAGGGGAGCGAACGGG
rnacentral:rRNA from 1 species